UCGCAGUUGCUCAGUCGGUUAGAGGUUGGGCUGUGGUUCUGAGGGUCAGGGGUUCGAACCCCGCAUCAUUUA